UUGACCUGAUAAUCACAGCCAGACAAAUACAGUUACUGGAUUUAAAAAAAAUACUCUUUCUUUGUUAAUUAUUGUAACUAAUGGUAUAACUGUACUCCAGUAACUCAAAUUACUCAAGCACAGCUCUGGAAGAUCCCCUCUGUCUGCACUUUGGGAAUUUGCCACACUUAGUGCUUACACAGGACAGAGGUAUUCUGGUCAAAUGGUCACUAGUAAAAGGCUAGUUACUUUACUUCCCUGCCUGCUAAUGAAAGCAAAUGUGUAGUACAAUUUCCUCCUUUGUUUUCCUUCUAGAAAACUUCCAAUGUAAUAAUUUUCCAGUCGCAUAUUCUGCUGAAAAUACCAAGUCACUCCUCUGAACUGAGAUGAGCUUCACCUUUGCUGCAGAGAGAGGAAAGACAAGUUGAAGCACCCUGCUGAACAUUGCCAGGCUUGCAUGAGUUUAUGGAGAAGGGCAGAUGCCUUUUGGACAUGAUGGUUUCUUCACAUUUGGCAUAGCUGUUACAUGAGACGUUGCUAAUUGGAGCAUUUACCAUGCAUUCAAGAGAGAGCGGAGGCUAUGGAGCUGACUGUCACCAUGCAAGUGUAAAAUACAGGUUGCAUUUGGUAUCCUGUACAAUGACCAGCACUGAUGGCACUGCAUCCAGAGGCUGGAAAGCUCAGUGGCCAGGAAACAGCCAUCUGAGGAAAUGCUGUGUGGCUGAUAGAAG